UACGUAGGGUGCGAGCGUUGUCCGGAAUUAUUGGGCGUAAAGGGCUCGUAGGCGGUUUGUCACGUCGGGAGUGAAAACUCGGGGCUUAACUCCGAGCCUGCUUCCGAUACGGGCUGACUAGAGGUAUGCAGGGGAGAACGGAAUUCCUGGUGUAGCGGUGAAAUGCGCAGAUAUCAGGAGGAACACCGGUGGCGAAGGCGGUUCUCUGGGCCUGUACUGACGCUGAGGAACGAAAGCUAGGGGAGCAAACGGG
rnacentral:rRNA from 1 species